rnacentral:lncRNA from 1 species
CUGAAGACAGGCGGAACAGACACCGCACCACAACAAAUGGUAGCAGAGGAUGGUUUCGUUCUUCGUCUUGUGAUUCGUGGGGGUGCCUGCCUCACAGAAGAGGAAGGAGGGAAGAGAAACACCCGCAGCUGUGAAAGCUCUGCACUACGCUAAGAGGAACCCAGCGCUGAGAAGAAAAAAAAACAAACCCUGAGGUUCCAGGACCCUCUUUUGUCCCUGCCACUGUGCUCUCUACCCCGGCCAGGGGCAGCCCUGCUGCAGGGGCAGCCGUACUACAGGGGCCUUAAGGGGGGCAGACUUACCCCAGGACAAAGAGGGUGGUGUGGCAGCGGCUCGAGGUUGAGCCCGAGCCUGAAGAACUGGCGCAUUGGAGCUCGCUGCUGACAGCAUUUGCUUGAGACCACCAGAGACUAAUAGUGGCCAAAUUCAAUGUUUCAGGGAUGAGCCUUAGUUAAUGGGAACACCUAGGUCUCUGGAAGAGCCAAACCGUGAAAAACAACAUCCCCAUUUCAGCACGAUUUUCCCAGGACCCGAGGAGAACGAUCGAGCCACCACUGCCCGCUCCCGGAGGCUCUGCAAGGAUCUAAACACCACAAGCGCUGCGUCAGAUCAAGUCAUGAAUCUUGCUUCUACCUCUGAUCUAGAAGAAUUUGUUUAUGACUAUUUUAUAUGUUUUAAGUUUUAAAGUGAAGAAAAUCUUUACCCCAUGUGUUGUAAUUAGGAUUAGUUUAUCCUUAUCUGCUGUCUUUCAGUUUAUGACCUUUUAGUAAUUUGUAAUGUUACUAUAUGAAUUUUAUGCUUUGUUAAUUUGUUUAAACCUCAGAACUCUCCUUCUUUUUGAAAAAAAGGAGUGAGAUGCAGAGGUGUGGUUUUUCUCUUUAUUAAUGUUUGUUUAGUGUUUUUUUGCUAUCCCCCUCCCUGGUCCCCUCCCCCACUCAGCUGCCGUUCUUCCCGGGUCUUUCCCUGCCCCUCCCCCUCUGGAUUGUCCUCUGCCCUUUUCCUGCCCCCCUCCCUGCCCACAUUCCCUAGGUAUGUGCUCUCCUGGUAUCACACCCCCCUCUCAGGUUCGGGUAUAAAAGCUGUGUCCCCCCGUCCCAGGGAGUCUUGGGGCUCAUUGAAUAAAACCAUCCUGUUCACCCCCA